AUUGAACGCUGGCGGCAGGCCUAACACAUGCAAGUCGAGCGGGGUUUUCGAACCUAGCGGCGGACGGGUGAGUAAUGCGUAGGAAGCUACCCGAUAGAGGGGGAUACCAGUUGGAAACGACUGUUAAUACCGCAUAAUGUCUACGGACCAAAGUGUGGGACCUUCGGGCCACAUGCUAUCGGAUGCGCCUACGUGGGAUUAGCUAGUUGGUGAGGUAAUGGCUCACCAAGGCGACGAUCCCUAGCUGGUUUGAGAGGAUGAUCAGCCACACUGGAACGGAGACACGGUCCAGACUCCUACGGGAGGCAGCAGUGGGGAAUAUUGGAAAAUGGGCGCAAGCCUGAUCCAGCCAUGCCGCGUGUGUGAAGAAGGCCUUCGGGUUGUAAAGCACUUUCAGUAGGGAGGAAGCGUUGUGUGUUAAUAGUACACAGCGUUGACGUUACCUACAGAAGAAGCACCGGCUAACUCUGUGCCAGCCGCCGCCGUAACAC
rnacentral:rRNA from 1 species